UGAUUCCCCACUGGUACUGAAACUGCACAAAUCUACCGGAGCAGCAGUAGGAUAUUGACAAUGCGCAGCUGAUCAAGCAUGGCGCGUGCAGAUGAGUGCUUGCAUGUAAACUGCUUUGUUCGGGAAUAACCUUUCACGUGUGAGAGUGAAUGUACGAAAGAAUAGGGACGCUACUCGUGCAGCAGCGCGUAAUACGAAGUCACAGCGUAUCUGAUUUAUUGGGUUUAAAGGGUGCGUAGGCGGGUUAUUAAGUCAGUGGUGAAAGCUCCCAGCUCAACUGGGAAACUGCCAUUGAUACUGAUAGUCUUGAGUAUGAUUGAAGUGGGCGGAAUGUGUCAUGUAGCGGUGAAAUGCUUAGAUAUGACACAGAACACCGAUUGCGAAGGCAGCUCACUAAGCCAUAACUGACGCUGAUGCACGAAAGCGUGGGGAGCAAACAGGAUUAGAUACCCUGGUAGUCCACGCCCUAAACGAUGAUCACUCGAUGUGUGCGAUAAACUGUACGCGUCCAAGCGAAAGCAUUAAGUGAUCCACCUGGGGAGUACGACCGCAAGGUUGAAACUCAAAGGAAUUGACGGGGGCCCGCACAAGCGGAGGAGCAUGUGGUUUAAUUCGAUGAUACGCGAGGAACCUUACCAGGGC
rnacentral:rRNA from 1 species